rnacentral:miRNA from 1 species
AUUUGUUAAUCCUCCUCCGUGCGUC